rnacentral:rRNA from 1 species
UACCGCGGUUACACGAGAGGCCCAAGUUGACAGGCUCCGGCGUAAAGUGUGGCUAAGGGACAACAAACACUAAGGCUGAACGCUUACUAGGCUGUUAUACGCUCCCGAAAGUAAGAAACACAUUCACGAAAGUAGCUUUACAUUACCUGAACCCACGAAAGCCAAGGCA